rnacentral:rRNA from 1 species
GAUGAACGCUGGCGGCGUGCCUAAUACAUGCAAGUCGAGCGAAGCGGCGGACGGGUGAGUAAUGCUUAGGAAUCUGCCUGGUAGUGGGGGAUAAUUUCCGGAAACAGGCGCUAAUACCGCAUACUAUAAGAUGGGCGUAGGUGGGAUUAGCUAGUUGGUGGGGUAAAGGCCUACCAAGGCGACGAUCCGUAGCUGGUCUGAGAGGAUGAUCAGUCACACUGGAACUGAGACACGGCCCAGACUCCUACGGGAGGCAGCAGUGGGGAAUAUUGGACAAUGGGCGAAAGCCUGAUCGAGCCAUGCCGCGUGUGUGAAGAAGGUCUUCGGAUUGUAAAGCACUUUAAGUUGGGAGGCGUUACCAACAGAAUAAGCACCGGCUAACUUCGUGCCAGCAGCCGCGGUAAUAC